rnacentral:sRNA from 12 species
CCCGAGCCGCUGUAAAAGCUCAACCCAAUGAGAUUUUCCUGUAGAGGUUAGCGGCAAAUAACGCCAUACGAUAAGUAGGGGCGUUAUGUAGUGCCGGAUGAAAUGCCGGUGAA